CCUACGGUGGGCAGCAGUGAGGAAUAUUGGUCAAUGGCCGGAAGGCUGAACCAGCCAAGCCGCGUGAAGGACGAAGGUGCCAAGCAUUGUAAACUUCUUUUGUCAAGGGACAAAAUCAGGCUCGAGAGCCUGACCGAGGGUACUUGAAGAAAAAGCAUCGGCUAGCUCCGUGCCAGCAGCCGAGGUAAUACGGAGGAUGCGAGCGUUCGCCGGAUUUAUUGGGUUGAAAGGGUGCGUAGGCGGACUGUUAAGUCAGCGGUAAAAGCCCGGGGCUAAACCCCGGCGAGCCGUUGAAACGGACUGUCUGGAGAUGUCGAGAGGUAUGCGGAAUGCGCAGUGUAGCGGUGAAAUGCUUAGAUAUUGCGCAGAACUCCGAUUGCGAAGGCAGCAUACCGGCGGCGAUCUGACGCUGAGGCACGAAAGCGUGGGUAUCGAACAGGAUUAGAUACCCUUGUAGUC
rnacentral:rRNA from 1 species